rnacentral:rRNA from 1 species
GAUGAACGCUGGCGGCGUGCCUAAUACAUGCAAGUCGAGCGAACAGAUGAGGAGCUUGCUCCUCUGACGUUAGCGGCGGACGGGUGAGUAACACGUGGAUAACCUACCUAUAAGACUGGGAUAACUACGGGAAACCGGAGCUAAUACCGGAUAAUAUAUUGAACCGCAUGGUUCAAUAGUGAAAGACGGUUUUGCUGUCACUUAUAGAUGGAUCCGCGCCGCAUUAGCUAGUUGGUAAGGUAACGGCUUACCAAGGCAACGAUGCGUAGCCGACCUGAGAGGGUGAUCGGCCACACUGGAACUGAGACACGGUCCAGACUCCUACGGGAGGCAGCAGUAGGGAAUCUUCCGCAAUGGGCGAAAGCCUGACGGAGCAACGCCGCGUGAGUGAUGAAGGUCUUCGGAUCGUAAAACUCUGUUAUUAGGGAAGAACAAAUGUAUAAGUAACUAUGCACGUCUUGACGGUACCUAAUCAGAAAGCCACGGCUAACUACGUG